GGGAAACAUCUUUAUAGCAUUAUUGUUGUAUGAUAGUUCCAGACCUCGUCUUCUCUUCAUCUCCUCCGUUCCCAAAUCCAACUUCCCAUGAUGAAGAGACCCAAGCUCGAUUGAGAGUUCGAGACCCAUAAUUAUCUGUUUUCGUCUCCAUAAGCAAGCACCCAUAAUCGAUGGAAGUCGACCUCGACCUCGACCCCCAAUUCAAGCAUCCAUAAUCGAUGGAACCCAUAAUCAAUUCAUCCCCAUAAUCAUGAGACCCAUUCAAUUGAGUUAAGCUUCUUCACUGUAAUUCGAAUUUAUUUGUGUUGUUUCCAAUUCAAGCACAACUGGAAUUGUUAUUGUUUCUAAUUCAAACUCAUUGCUACCGGGUUUUGAAUGAAUCUAUUUGAGUUUCUAGUUCACUUGGGGUUCGAAUCAAUUUGAGGUUAUAACAACAUGAUUUACUUUACUAAUUCGAUUAAUUUGGGGUUUCUAAAUGAAUCAAUUUAAGUUUUUAAUACAUUUGGAGUUCGAAUCAAUUUAGAGAGGAAGUAGAGUUGGGUAGUAGUAUCUCUGAUAGUGCUGGUUCUGGUUGAAAAACACAAACUCAUUCGAGUAUUGUAUAAGCUGAUGGUGGUGAUGCGGGUGAUGGUGUUUCUGGGAUGAGUUAUUGGUUAUGCCUCUUAUGGUUUUGGUGUUGCAUUUCUUGUUACCAUUUGACUCUUCUGUCUCUUCCAUGGCUUGAUUGUGUAGACAACAAGAAUGAGAAUGAGAAAUGAAUUAGAGGUUUUGGGCAUGUGAGAGAGAAAGAGGUUUGUUUCUGUUUUCUAAUAGAACACAAGGGGAAGGUGUGAGUAGUUAUUGGCUUAUUGCAGAGAGAUAUUUUUUUGGGUUUUAGCUCCAAAAUCCAAAGGUUCUUAAUGUCUAGAACUCUAGCUAUGAAGCAGGUUUUGAUUAUGGGACAGAGCUAAAUACAUACAAGGGGACUUUCGAUUCAGACGCGUAUUAAGCAUGAAGAAUGCCAGGAAACUAAUGAAGACAUUGGCUGAGAAAGAAAUGAGGAAUCUGAAGAGGAUAAACGAUGCAAGAAUCAGAUGCCCUAUUGUACAUGACAUAAAACUUCAUGUACUUGUCAUGGAUUUCAUAGGUAAGGCAGGGUAUGCAGUACCUCUUCUGAACGAUGUUGCAUUAUCAAUAGACAAGCUGCGAGAAGGUUACAGGGAGUAAAGAAGUUGACUUGGUGGCUGCAUAACUUGUAUUCAUAGAGGCCGGAGAGUGUCACAGUGGUCCACAUAACUUGAUUUCAAUUUACAAGCUUAUUUUUAAUUUUUAUGUUAUCUUUUGCAACUUUGUUUUGUUGUUUUGUAAUUUGCUAUGCUUUCUUGACUAUUGAUGAGUUUAGUACUAUGGUUUGUAUAUUGCCAAUAUCAUCAAGAAGCAUUGAUGUUUAAUUA